CCUACGGGUGGCAGCAGUGGGGAAUAUUGGACAAUGGGGGCAACCCUGAUCCAGCCAUGCCGCGGGUGUGAAGAAGGCCCUCGGGUUGUAAAGCACUUUCAGUGAGGAAGAACGCCUGGUGGUUAAUACCCAUCAGGAAAGACAUCACUCACAGAAGAAGCACCGGCUAACUCCGUGCCAGCAGCCGCGGUAAUACGGAGGGUGCGAGCGUUAAUCGGAAUUACUGGGCGUAAAGCGCGCGUAGGUGGCUUGAUAAGCCGGUUGUGAAAGCCCCGGGCUCAACCUGGGAACGGCAUCCGGAACUGUCAAGCUAGAGUGCAGGAGAGGAAGGUAGAAUUCCCGGUGUAGCGGUGAAAUGCGUAGAGAUCGGGAGGAAUACCAGUGGCGAAGGCGGCCUUCUGGACUGACACUGACACUGAGGUGCGAAAGCGUGGGUAGCAAACAGGAUUAGAUACCCUAGUAGUC
rnacentral:rRNA from 1 species